rnacentral:tRNA from 1 species
CCGGGUGUAGCGCAGUUUGGUAGCGCGCAUGGUUCGGGAUCAUGAGGUCGGGGGUUCAAAUCCCUCCACCCGGA